GAGGGUAUAGCUUAAAGUGCUAGAGUGCAUGCUUAGCAUGCACGAGAUCCUGGGUUCAAUCCUCAGUACUUCCU
rfam:Camelus ferus unplaced genomic scaffold scaffold10384, whole genome shotgun sequence.